GACCUGGUGGUGAAUGGUUCACAUCCCCUUUCUCUGCGGUGGAUUCAGACAAAUGUACGUGGGAGCUCCCGGUUCGAUUCCGGGCCAGGUCA